GAACAAGUGGUAAGUUUAAAGAUUUGCUUGUUUUAUGAUAUUAUUUUGUUAUUUAUAAUUAAAAAUAUUUUAUUAACUUGUGAAAUUUUCUAAUUUUUCUUUGUAGGUUCAACUAUGCCUCGUGGUCCCAAAGCUAGAUCGCUUAUUUGAGAACAUUUUGAGCUAGUUAAAGUAAAUGAAGAAGCACGCAAAGCAAAGUGUCUUCAUUGUGGUCGUGUUUAUAAUUGUCAUCCAAAGUAUUAUGGCACUUAUGGCUUAGUGAAAUAUAUUAAGAAGUGUCUCAUGCCUCUGUGAUUCGUAUUUAAGGCUUUAAGUAUUAUUUUCUAGACUUACUUUAUGGCUUAUGGGUUGUGACUAGUUUUUCACUGUUUUGUUGUUUGGUGAUGGUAUUUCUAGACUUAUUUUGGACUUUGGUAGCUGCUAGAUUUGCCACUGUGUUAAACUGUUUUGGACUAGUUUGCCACUACUGAACUGUGCGGUAUUUUGCUACUUAGGUGUUCUAUUUGCACUGAUGCCACUGAAGGUCUCCCUGCUCUCUGUGUGCUUGUUCUCUAUAGUCUAU
rnacentral:lncRNA from 1 species